rnacentral:rRNA from 1 species
UGCCAGCCGCCGCGGUAAUACGAAGGGCCCGAGCGUUGCGCGGAAUCACUGGGCUUAAAGCGUACGUAGGCGGGCGCGCAGGCGUUUUGUGAAAGCCCUCGGCUCAACCGAGGAAUUGCUUGACGAACCGCGUGCCUUGAGGCAAGUAGGGGCUGUCGGAACGAUAGGUGGAGUGGUGAAAUGCGUUGAUAUCUAUCGGAACGCCGAAGGAGAAGUCAGGCCACUGGGCCUGUCCUGACGCUGAGGCACGAAAGCAUGGGUAGCGAACGGGAUUAGAUA